rfam:Ipomoea nil DNA, scaffold: scaffold2921, cultivar: Tokyo-kokei standard.
GCUGAAAUAGCUCAGUUGGUUAGAAUGUGUGGCUGUUAACCACAAGGUUGGAGGUUCAAGCCCUCCUUCUAGCG